AUUGAACGCUGGCGGCAUGCCUUACACAUGCAAGUCGAACGGCAGCACGGGAGCAAUCCUGGUGGCGAGUGGCGAACGGGUGAGUAAAGUAUCGGAACGUGCCCAGUCGUGGGGGAUAACGUAGCGAAAGUUACGCUAAUACCGCAUACGAUCUAUGGAUGAAAGCGGGGGAUCGCAAGACCUCGCGCGAUUGGAGCGGCCGAUAUCAGAUUAGGUAGUUGGUGGGGUAAAGGCGCACCAAGCCGACGAUCUGUAGCUGGUCUGAGAGGACGACCAGCCACACUGGGAGUGAGACACGGCCCAGACUCCUACGGGAGGCAGCAGUGGGGAAUUUUGGACAAUGGGCGAAAGCCUGAUCCAGCCAUGCCGCGUGCAGGAUGAAGGCCUUCGGGUUGUAAACUGCUUUUGUACGGAACGAAAAGGUUUGGCCUAAUAAGCUGAGCUCAUGACGGUACCGUAAGAAUAAGCACCGGCUAACUACGUGCCAGCCGCCGCCGUAAAAC
rnacentral:rRNA from 1 species